UACAGGGUGACAGCCCCGUACACAAAAAUGCACAUAUUGUGAGCUCGAUGAGUAGGGCGGGACACGUGGUAUCCUGUCUGAAUAUGGGGGGACCAUCCUCCAAGGCUAAAUACUCCUGACUGACCGAUAGUGAACCAGUACCGUGAGGGAAAGGCGAAAAGAACCCCGGCGAGGGGAGUGAAAAAGAACCUGAAACCGUGUACGUACAAGCAGUGGGAGCCUCUUUAUGGGGUGACUGCGUACCUUUUGUAUAAUGGGUCAGCGACUUAUAUUCUGUAGCAAGGUUAACCGAAUAGGGGAGCCGAAGGGAAACCGAGUCUUAACUGGGCGUUAAGUUGCAGGGUAUAGACCCGAAACCCGGUGAUCUAGCCAUGGGCAGGUUGAAGGUUGGGUAACACUAACUGGAGGACCGAACCGACUAAUGUUGAAAAAUUAGCGGAUGACUUGUGGCUGGGGGUGAAAGGCCAAUCAAACCGGGAGAUAGCUGGUUCUCCCCGAAAGCUAUUUAGGUAGCGCCUCGUGAAUUCAUCUCCGGGGGUAGAGCACUGUUUCGGCAAGGGGGUCAUCCCGACUUACCAACCCGAUGCAAACUGCGAAUACCGGAGAAUGUUAUCACGGGAGACACACGGCGGGUGCUAACGUCCGUCGUGAAGAGGGAAACAACCCAGACCGCCAGCUAAGGUCCCAAAGUCAUGGUUAAGUGGGAAACGAUGUGGGAAGGCCCAGACAGCCAGGAUGUUGGCUUAGAAGCAGCCAUCAUUUAAAGAAAGCGUAAUAGCUCACUGGUCGAGUCGGCCUGCGCGGAAGAUGUAACGGGGCUAAACCAUGCACCGAAGCUGCGGCAGCGACACUAUGUGUUGUUGGGUAGGGGAGCGUUCUGUAAGCCUGUGAAGGUGGCCUGUGAGGGUUGCUGGAGGUAUCAGAAGUGCGAAUGCUGACAUAAGUAACGAUAAAGCGGGUGAAAAGCCCGCUCGCCGGAAGACCAAGGGUUCCUGUCCAACGUUAAUCGGGGCAGGGUGAGUCGACCCCUAAGGCGAGGCCGAAAGGCGUAGUCGAUGGGAAACAGGUUAAUAUUCCUGUACUUGGUGUUACUGCGAAGGGGGGACGGAGAAGGCUAUGUUGGCCGGGCGACGGUUGUCCCGGUUUAAGCGUGUAGGCUGGUUUUCCAGGCAAAUCCGGAAAACCAAGGCUGAGGCGUGAUGACGAGGCACUACGGUGCUGAAGCGACAAAUGCCCUGCUUCCAGGAAAAGCCUCUAAGCAUCAGGUAACAUCAAAUCGUACCCCAAACCGACACAGGUGGUCAGGUAGAGAAUACCAAGGCGCUUGAGAGAACUCGGGUGAAGGAACUAGGCAAAAUGGUGCCGUAACUUCGGGAGAAGGCACGCUGAUAUGUAGGUGAAGCGACUUGCUCGUGGAGCUGAAAUCAGUCGAAGAUACCAGCUGGCUGCAACUGUUUAUUAAAAACACAGCACUGUGCAAACACGAAAGUGGACGUAUACGGUGUGACGCCUGCCCGGUGCCGGAAGGUUAAUUGAUGGGGUUAGCGGUAACGCGAAGCUCUUGAUCGAAGCCCCGGUAAACGGCGGCCGUAACUAUAACGGUCCUAAGGUAGCGAAAUUCCUUGUCGGGUAAGUUCCGACCUGCACGAAUGGCGUAAUGAUGGCCAGGCUGUCUCCACCCGAGACUCAGUGAAAUUGAACUCGCUGUGAAGAUGCAGUGUACCCGCGGCAAGACGGAAAGACCCCGUGAACCUUUACUAUAGCUUGACACUGAACAUUGAGCCUUGAUGUGUAGGAUAGGUGGGAGGCUUUGAAGUGUGGACGCCAGUCUGCAUGGAGCCGACCUUGAAAUACCACCCUUUAAUGUUUGAUGUUCUAACGUUGGCCCGUAAUCCGGGUUGCGGACAGUGUCUGGUGGGUAGUUUGACUGGGGCGGUCUCCUCCUAAAGAGUAACGGAGGAGCACGAAGGUUGGCUAAUCCUGGUCGGACAUCAGGAGGUUAGUGCAAUGGCAUAAGCCAGCUUGACUGCGAGCGUGACGGCGCGAGCAGGUGCGAAAGCAGGUCAUAGUGAUCCGGUGGUUCUGAAUGGAAGGGCCAUCGCUCAACGGAUAAAAGGUACUCCGGGGAUAACAGGCUGAUACCGCCCAAGAGUUCAUAUCGACGGCGGUGUUUGGCACCUCGAUGUCGGCUCAUCACAUCCUGGGGCUGAAGUAGGUCCCAAGGGUAUGGCUGUUCGCCAUUUAAAGUGGUACGCGAGCUGGGUUUAGAACGUCGUGAGACAGUUCGGUCCCUAUCUGCCGUGGGCGCUGGAGAACUGAGGGGGGCUGCUCCUAGUACGAGAGGACCGGAGUGGACGCAUCACUGGUGUUCGGGUUGUCAUGCCAAUGGCACUGCCCGGUAGCUAAAUGCGGAAGAGAUAAGUGCUGAAAGCAUCUAAGCACGAAACUUGC
rnacentral:rRNA from 1 species